rnacentral:rRNA from 1 species
ACUCCUACGGGAGGCAGCAGUGGGGAAUAUUGCGCAAUGGGCGAAAGCCUGACGCAGCGACGCCGCGUGAGGGAUGAAGGCCUUCGGGUCGUAAACCUCUUUCAGCAGGGAAGAAGCGAAAGUGACGGUACCUGCAGAAGAAGCACCGGCUAACUACGUGCCAGCAGCCGCGGUAAUACGUAGGGUGCAAGCGUUGUCCGGAAUUAUUGGGCGUAAAGAGCUCGUAGGCGGUCUGUCGCGUCUGCUGUGAAAACUCAGGGCUUAACCCUGAGCUUGCAGUGGGUACGGGCAGACUAGAGUGCGGUAGGGGAGACUGGAAUUCCUGGUGUAGCGGUGAAAUGCGCAGAUAUCAGGAGGAACACCGGUGGCGAAGGCGGGUCUCUGGGCCGUAACUGACGCUGAGGAGCGAAAGCAUGGGGAGCGAACAGGAUUAGAUACCCUGGUAGUCCAUGCCGUAAACGUUGGGCGCUAGGUGUGGGGCUCUUUCCACGAGUUCCGUGCCGCAGCUAACGCAUUAAGCGCCCCGCCUGGGGAGUACGGCCGCAAGGCUAAAACUCAAAGGAAUUGACGGGGGCCCGCACAAGCGGCGGAGCAUGCGGAUUAAUUCGAUGCAACGCGAAGAACCUUACCAAGGCUUGACAUGGGGUGAAAACUCGCAGAGAUGCGGGGUCCGCAAGGGCGCCUCACAGGUGGUGCAUGGUUGUCGUCAGCUCGUGUCGUGAGAUGUUGGGUUAAGUCCCGCAACGAGCGCAACCCUCGUUCUAUGUUGCCAGCACGUGAUGGUGGGGACUCAUAGGAGACUGCCGGGGUCAACUCGGA